GAUGAAGAACGUAGCGAAAUGCGAUACGUAAUAUGAAUUGCAAAUUCAGUGAAUCAUCGAGUCUUUGAACGCACAUUGCGCCCCCUGGUAUUCCGGGGGGCAUGCCUGUCCGAGCGUCAUUGCUGCCCUCAAGCACGGCUUGUGUGUUGGGCCCCGUCCUCCGAUCCCGGGGGACGGGCCCGAAAGGCAGCGGCGGCACCGCGUCCGGUCCUCGAGCGUAUGGGGCUUUGUCACCCGCUCUGUAGGCCCGGCCGGCGCUUGCCGAUCAACCCAAAUUUUUAUCCAGGUUGACCUCGGAUCAGGUAGGGAUACCCGCUGAACUUAAGCAUAUCAAUAAGCGGAGGA
rnacentral:misc_RNA from 1 species